rnacentral:rRNA from 1 species
CGCGUAGGCGGUUUGUUAAGUCAGAUGUGAAAGCCCCGGGCUCAACCUGGGAACUGCAUUUGAAACUGGCAGGCUAGAGUGCAGUAGAGGGAGGUGGAAUUUCCGGUGUAGCGGUGAAAUGCGUAGAGAUCGGAAGGAACACCAGUGGCGAAGGCGGCCUCCUGGACUGACACUGACGCUGAGGUGCGAAAGCGUGGGGAGCAAACA